AGUGUAGAUUCAGAGUUUGAUCCUGGCUCAGGGUGAGCGCUGGCGGCGUGGAUGAGGCAUGCAAGUCGAAUGAAUUAGAUUCAUGGCAGACGAGGUAGGAACACGUAGGUACGUACCCCAAAGUCACGGAUAACCCGGAGAAAUUCGGAAUAAUACGUGAUAGUCUCGCGAGAGUAAAGAUUUAUCGCUUUGGGAACGGCCUGCGUUCUAUCAGCUUGUUGGUAAGGUAACGGCUUACCAAGGCUACGACGGAUAGGGGAGGUGAGAGCCUGACCCCCACCGAUGGAACUGCGACACGGUCCAU
rnacentral:rRNA from 1 species